rnacentral:rRNA from 1 species
UACGUAGGGUGCGAGCGUUGUCCGGAAUUACUGGGCGUAAAGAGCUCGUAGGUGGUUUGUCGCGUUGUUCGUGAAAUCUCACGGCUUAACUGUGAGCGUGCGGGCGAUACGGGCAGACUGGAGUACUGCAGGGGAGACUGGAAUUCCUGGUGUAGCGGUGGAAUGCGCAGAUAUCAGGAGGAACACCGGUGGCGAAGGCGGGUCUCUGGGCAGUAACUGACGCUGAGGAGCGAAAGCGCGGGGAGCGAACAGG